rnacentral:lncRNA from 1 species
CAUUUCAGAAUGUGAUAUUGGUUGAAUCAACAGGUAUUCUAAAAAGGUGCUAACUCUUGUGGAAUGAACAAUCACACAUUUCUGUGAACGUUACUAUUUUUCUUACAAGAUCUGAACCAUACUGGUGCCUAACCUUUCAUAUCUCGAUGUAUAUUUGAACUGUAGAGAAUUACAGGGGUACGUGUUUGUAGAGAUCAGCUGAGUCCGACGAAUUUUGGUAGAUUCAAACCUAAAUUAGUGUUUUAGCUGCGUAUGGCCCGUCUUGCAAAGGAGAAGACC